rnacentral:rRNA from 1 species
UACAGAGGUCUCAAGCGUUGUUCGGAUUCAUUGGGCGUAAAGGGUGCGUAGGCGGCGUGGUAAGUCGGGUGUGAAAUCUCGGAGCUUAACUCCGAAACUGCAUUCGAUACUGCCGUGCUUGAGGACUGGAGAGGAGACUGGAAUUUACGGUGCAGCGGUGAAAUGCGUAGAUAUCGUAAGGAAGACCAGUGGCGAAGGCGGGUCUCUGGACAGUUCCUGACGCUGAGGCACGAAGGCCAGGGGAGCAAACGGG